CGGACGGGUGAGUAACGCGUGAGCAACCUGCCUUCGAGAGGGGAAUAGCACCUGGAAACGGGGGGUAAUACCGCAUAAGCCGGGAAUACCGCAUGGUAUAACUGGAAAAGGAGCAAUCCGCUUGAAGAUGGGCUCGCGCCCGAUUAGAUAGUUGGUGAGGUAACGGCUCACCAAGUCGACGAUCGGUAGCCGGACUGAGAGGUUGAACGGCCACAUUGGGACUGAGACACGGCCCAG
rnacentral:rRNA from 1 species